AGGACGGCAAUUUGAUUAGUGGGAUGAGAUGAGUCAUCUUAGAGAAUCUGUCGAUUAUAGUCAAUAUAACCCUAUGAUUCCUGGAGGGAGGUAGGUCCACUAUAAAAUCCAUAGCAAUACUUGACCAGGGUUUAUCGGGAAUGGACAAUGGCAAAAGGAGGCCCAAAGGACGACCUUUGGAUGACUUCGUGGAGGCACAGACCCUACAAGCAAGAAUGAACUCGCGAACGUCCUUCUUGUAUGAAGGCCACCAAAACUGUUCUUCGAGUAAAGACUCAGUUUUGUGAAUGCCUGGAUGCCCUGCCAAUUUGGAGUUGUGUACAAGGAAUAAGACCUUUUUCCUAUAAGCCAAGGGUACGUAUAAUUUUCCCCUGGGAACAGUCAAUGAGGUCUGAUCCUGAAACCUAGAUAAU